GUGAGAGUGAAGUGCGCAUGCGUGAAUCGAAUAUGAAAGUGUAAAAGGUGAAGCUUCAGCGGCACGGAGCGGAGUGGAGCAAACUGAGUUUUCAACCUUCACACGCUACAGCUGAACUGUCACUUCCACUCGUCUUUGUGGUUUCAUAAAAAGUUUUAACAUGCUGAAGAGCAAUCUCACUGGCAUGACAUAUCCGCACAGCUUCAUUCAAGGACAGGAAUAGAAGCCACCACACCACAGCUUGACUUCUGCUUCGUAAGCCACACACCCCACUGAGAGAGCGCUACCAUGGUGGGCGAUUAUCCUGAUAGUGUUUGGGCUGCUGCUUGUUGUUGUGCUGCUUGUGAUAAUCUGGUACCAGAGGAAACAAGUUCAUUGCUGCCAAAGAGAUGAAAGGAGCAGCAGUGGAGCAGGAAGACAUCAGAGCUGGAAUGGUACCUCAGCAACGACUAACCUACGAGAGAACCAAAUGAUGAUGGAGCAGGAGGAGAACCGAAUGAUGUUGGAGCAGGAGGAGAACCGAAUGAUGUUGGAGCAAGAGGAGAACCGAAUGAUGCUGGAGCAGGGGGAGAACCUGAAGCUCAAACAUAAGAAUGGAGUAACAGAGGGAAGAGACUUAUAACUUCAUACAGCAUGUUUGGAUUAUUUUCUGUUUUGCAUCGUUGUUUCUGCUCUGACUUUCUUCAGAAGUGCUCAGGUUUGUGAACCCUGCAAGCUCAUGUUUUUCCCACCUGUCUGUUGUGAUUCCUCUCCCUGUGAGCUGCUCCAUGUCAGUCUGAGCUGCUCAGUAACUUUCCCACUAGCUGGGACUGAUCAGUGUUUACUGGGUGUGUCCUCAUACACACGUGUUCACUAGCUGGGACUGAUCAGUGUUUACUGGGUGUGUCCUCACACACACGUGUGAGUCUAGGAAUUGGUGGUACAGCCGGUGGUGUCAUAGAGGAGAUCCACAUCUGCUCCCUGCAGACUCUCCACUGGUGUCCCACAAGGCUCAGUACUUGAUCCUCUCCUGUUCUCCCUCUAUACUCAAUCUCUUGGUGUGGUCAUAUCCUCACAUGGGUUUUCAUACCACUGCUACUGCCACUCAACUCCUCCUCUCCUUCCCUCCCUCAGACAAACAAAUGCAGAAAAACACAAAUAAACUUGUAUGUUUUUAUUUUGGGAAAUAAUUUUUGCUGGGGCUUUUUACUAGGAACAUCAGAAAAUAUUUAAAACAUUUAUCCUUUUAUUUAAUGUUAUACUUUACUCUGUCUUUAUUCAAAUGUAGAUUAAGUCUGCAGCUGCUUCAUUAUUGCAUCUGUAAAAGAAGCAGAAGACCUCCACUGUGGUUUCAGCACUGGCACUUUGGACCUGCUGAGUUUUAUUAAAGCCAACACAAGAUUUCAGACUGUGAUGUUAUUUCACCUGUGCUGUGAGAUCACAUCUGAUAUAAACCCAGACUGGCCAGAUUUCACUCAGUUCAAUUUUAUUUAUAUAGUGAUUUUUAACGAUGGACAUUGUGCUAAAGCAGCUUUACAGAAAUGCAGGUCUGGUUUUAGAUCCUUAAUGAACAAGCCAGAGGAGACAGUGGUGAAGGAAAACCCCCUGAGACAACAUGAGGAAGAAACCUUGAGAGGAACCAGACUCUAAAAGUAAGCCAUCCUCUGUUGGGAGACAGAUGAUCUGAUCAGUGAUCAGCACAUUCACUGGUAAAACCUCGGGUCCAGGGGCAGGGCUAGUGCACAGGAAGAGUGUUGAAGUGGAAUUGUGCAUCUACACUGGGACAGAGUCACUCUGAAACAGCACAGCUUUAAAACACCAGCAGCUGGUUGCAGCUGUAGACCAUAAGCUCCAUCACAGCUUAGUGUGAACGUAAACGACUGCUACGUUUGAGUUCACCAACUACUAAAAAAAUUACAGUCCCAGCAAGUACAGUAGCAUACCUAAAAACUUACACCUGCCCGCUAGUAAUGCAGCGUCUGCCCUAAACAAAACUACUCACUAACUCUGUUCAGUGUAAAAAGCGCAGGUUUACUGACUAUACAUACAGUGUUUUAUUUUGUAAGGAGUGUAAUGAUGUCUUUAUGGGGAGAUAUUUUUGUGCUCUCUGAUCACCAGUCAUGGCCAUCUCACUGAAACACACUAUAAUCGUAACGGAUGAGAGGAUAAACAACAAACAGACUAUUUUUAUAAUCAGGAGCCGUAACGAGCUCUGAAGUGACAACGCAAAAUAUCACGGGUCAGAUUGGAGUUUAUUGGUAAGGAACAUCAAAAACCCUGCUUUCGCUUGGAGAUCACGAGUUUAAGUCCGCACAAUGCCACAGCCAUUCGUGGCCAAGAGUACAAGAGGGCUAAACUGGCUGUGCUCUCUGGGUGCAAAUAAUAAGCCAUAAAGAAAGAGAAUAUUUAUAUGGAACAAGAAGUGAUGAAGAAGUGAUAUUAAUAUCUGAAAGGAAUAAACUGUAUGACUGGCAGCUGAAGUCACUGGAGUCUGAACCACACAGAUCAUUACACAUCAGGAGUAACGGUACCGACGCGCACCACGCAGGACUAUACGGGAGUAACGGUACCGACGCGCACCACGCGGGACUAUACGGGAGUAACGGUACCGACGCACACCACGCAGGACUAUACAGGAGUAACGGUACCGAUGCGCACCACGCAGGACUAUACAGGAGUAAGGGUACCGACGUGCACCACGCGGGACUAUACGGCAAUAACGGUACCGACGCGCACCACACGGGACUAUAGAGGUGUAAGGGUACCGACACGGAACACGCGGGACUAUACGGGAGUAAGGGUACCGACGCACACCACGGGGGACUAUACGGGAGUAAGGGUACCGACACACACCACGCAGGACUAUACGGGAGUAACGGUACCGACGCGCACCACGCGGGACUAUACCGGAGUAAGGGUACCGACGCGCACCACGCAGGACUAUACAGGAGUAACGGUACCGACACACACUCUUGCUGCAGGACUAUACGGGAGUAACGGUACCGACACACACCACGCGGGACUAUACGGGAGUAAGGGUACCGACGCGCACCACGCGGGACUAUACGGGAAUAACGGUACCGACACACACCACGCAGGACUGUACAGGAGUAAGGGUAUACACUAUACACUAUACAAUGACACGCUCUCUCACGUGCAUUCAGCCCAAACCACUGGCCUGCUUCAAGGGCGACUGCACUGUCUGGAUGUAGGAGACUGCUACAGGUGGAAGAUUGCUUCAGGUGUCAUCAUGCAGGUUCAGCAGCAGGUUCUUGUUCGGCAGAUGUUUGUUUUGUCUCCUUUGCUCUGAAGUUUGAAGAAAACACAAAGAGAAGGGAAAUAGGACAUUACUCCAUUGUCACCUGAAGAACAGGAGCAAGAGACACAGUCUCGCACUGAUACUUUUCAAGCAGCGCCGCCGGUGUCCUGUGCAUCAUUCCAGGUAACAUCUAUUGCAUUUCAGCCCACAUUAAGAACUGCUAACUCUACUCAAAACAUGCUAACCCUAGCUAACUAGCACCAGUAAUUCAUCUUGCAAAUAAUAAGGUGAACUAAAACUGAAACUGGACAAGAUGUGGGUUUGUUUGUCUUUAAUUAUCCUUAAUUCAUUCCUCAUUAUCUCCAUCACUUACCGCUGUCCUGUUUCCU